rnacentral:rRNA from 1 species
AAGCGCAGUCAUCAGCAAACGUUUUCAUUAAUCAAGAACGAAAGUUAGGGGAUCGAAGAUGAUCAGAUACCGUCGUAGUCUUAACCAUAAACUAUGCCGACUAGGGAUCGGGUGGUGUUUCUUUUUUGACCCACUCGGCACCUUACGAGAAAUCAAAGUUUUUGGGUUCUGGGGGGAGUAUGGUCGCAAGGCUGAAACUUAAAGGAAUUGACGGAAGGGCACCACCAGGAGUGGAGCCUGCGGCUUAAUUUGACUCAACACGGGGAAACUCACCAGGUCCAGACACAAUAAGGAUUGACAGAUUGAGAGCUCUUUCUUGAUUUUGUGGGUGGUGGUGCAUGGCCGUUCUUAGUUGGUGGAGUGAUUUGUCUGCUUAAUUGCGAUAACGAACGAGACCUUAACCUACUAAAUAGUACUAUUAGCGUUUGCUGAUUUGUUACUUCUUAGAGGGACUAUCGGUUUCAAGCCGAUGGAAGUUUGAGGCAAUAACAGGUCUGUGAUGCCCUUAGACGUUCUGGGCCGCACGCGCGCUACACUGACGGAGCCAACGAGUACUAUCCUUGGCCGAAAGGUCCGGGUAAUCUUGUGAAACUCCGUCGUGCUGGGGAUAGAGCAUUGCAAUUAUUGCUCUUCACGAGGAAUUCCUAG